rnacentral:rRNA from 1 species
AGAGUUUGAUCAUGGCUUAGAAUUAAAGCUGGCGGAGGCCUAACACAUGCAAGUCGAGCGGUAGAGAGAAGCUUGCUUCUCUUAGAGCGGCGGACGGGUGAGUAAUGCCUAGGAAUCUGCCUGGUAGUGGGGGAUGCAGUUCGGAAACGGACGCUAAUCAGCAUACGUCUACGGGAGAAAGCAGGGGGCUUCGGCCUUGCGCUAUCAGAUGAGCCUAGGUCGGAUUAGCUAGUUGGUGAGGUAAUGGCUCGCCAAGGCGCCGAUCCGUAACUGGUCUGAGAGGAUGAUCAGUCACACUGGAACUGAGCACGGCCAGACUCUACGGGAGGCAGCAGUGGGGAAUAUUGGACAAGGGCGAAAGCCUGAUCCAGGCAUGCCGCGUGUGUGAAGAAGGUCUUCGGAUUGUAAAGCACUUUAAGUUGGGAGGAAGGGCAGUUACCUAAUACGUAUUGUUUCUGCGUUCGACAGAAUA